UUUUUUCUCCUGUUUAUUUCAAAAGUCUUUGUAAUAGCUUAAUCGAGACAAUCCAAACGUCACCUGGAAUUUGACAUCCUCCCAGAUGUACAGAAUUCAGACUCGGUUGUGUAUCACAGCAUUAAAACCACACAGGAAUGUUCCCCAAACACCAUCAGUGGGUUCUCCCGCAGUCUCAUUAACUACCAGCUCUACACAUCCUCCGCCAAUGCCUCUGCACCACUCUACAAUGCGGCUGCGCACCAGGCAUCUCUCUGCCUCCCGGGUCCGUAACCGUGCUUCCAUGGAUGAAAGGGUGCCAAGCCCAAAAUACCCAUUUUUGUUUGCAAACUGGAUAUAAUGUACCAGUAGAAAUGUGUUCUGUAUUUAAUUGGCUUUGUAUAUGGCUUUUAGUCCUCUUCAUUCAAAGAUGGUAUAGCGGAAAAAUCCUGAGCUGACAUCAAAAGUGGGACUGAUUUGUUAAAAGCCCUCACAAUUAUGGUAUGUGUUGGAGGCGAAGUUCCUGCCAACCCAGAAUUAAAGCGUUUUUAAAAAUGCCACUUGUUUAUAAAUAGAUUUCAAUCUUGAAAUGUAUUCCAGUUCAAUGUUUUGCUAGGAAGCAUCAUCUGAAAGAGGAAAAUCUCUGCUUCCUAAUCCAUGAUUUACAGGAACUUACAUUUCCUUAUUUCACUUCUUGGCUCGGUAAACAUAACCAAAAUUGUGCUGGAAAAAUACAUGCAGCUCCUUUUGACUUCUAGCAGGCAUUUAAAAGUCAUUACAUCUAUUUAAUUAGCCUAUGUACUACCUGCAAUUCAACUAAGUUACUCCAGAUUCAGGCAAGAACAGCAUUUGCUUCCUAGAACCUAUUGGCUCUUUUGGCUUAUUUAGGUAAUUUCUGUAUUGUUCAACUCUGAUGGAGUACAUUGAGUGGUGCCAGGCACUGGGAUUUGCCACAGCUGACUAGAUGACCUUUGAAGUUCCCUUCCAACCCAAACUAUUCUAUGAUUCUAAAUGUAAUUUUUUCUGAACAGCACUCAGCUGAAAUUCCUCUCGGUUGUUACAACAGUCCCUGGCUAAUACCCAUAUUCACUGGUGACAGUAAAGAGCUUGUGUAAGACUUGCUGCAUCCUCUGAUUUCGGUACCAGUGAUGAGAAAUGUAGAAACAGCUGCAGAAACUUGCUUGGGAAGUGCCAUUUUUGGUGCCACAGCUGUUCACAGGGCAACAUCCAGCACCCCAAACAUCCAGCUGAUGCUCUCCUGAACCCAAACUUCUCCCACUGCUGGAGAAGCAACUGGCUGCUAUGGAUAGAGGCAGCUCUGCUCACAGCUUUUGCAUGUGAGAUCAUUAAUUCCUUGUUUAAGAUUAUUUUGCUUUCCUGAUAUGCUGAUAUUGGGUGGGUUUUUUUGGUUUUGUUUGCUUUUUUUAUGUGAAAAACCAUGACCACUUGAAGGUCAGCUGUCAAAUAGACUGAAUGAUCAGCACAGGAAAAUUGAAACCCGUGACAUCUUGUGUGUAGGCUGUGAAUAAUGGGCAACACCAUUUCGAUCAUUAAAAUAGAAAAUGAUCUCUAUAUUUUCUGAUGGUUUUAGCCCAUUGAGAAGGCAGGGAUAUGACCGCAUUGCUGAUGACUUGCACCACUUUCCUGGCAGUACAUUCCCUGGCUGCAGACCAGGGACUGGCGGUGGGAUGGAUCCCACACCUGGGGUAGCUUGGUCGAAGGAGGCAGAUGCAGGUUGCCAGAACAUUCAGCUACCUUUCAAAACCCACAGACACCCCGAGGCAGGACCAUUUGCUGAUGGGGACUGGACCAGAAUUCAUGGUCUCUGGACAAUGGGCGCGCUUAAACUUGGGGAUGGAGGCAACGCCAUUCCUCAGUGCUACUCAGACCAAGGCAUGCCCUCAAAAUACAUUUUGCUUUCAUACAGAUGAAGAUAAUAUAAGCCUUGACUAUCCCAGUGCUGUCAGAAACCAAGGCCUUCCCUUGAGAGCAUUAGAAAUGAACCCUAUGGUAAUUUUGUGGCACAACCCAGAGCUUUGGGGCUCAAUUACAUAUUUUAGCACUUUACUGUCUGGUCAGAGCACCACUUCUUCUGUUGCUUCACUGUACUUGCAGGAUGGCAAGACAAUUUCCCCCUUUUUUGCUGAUAAAGAUCUCUUACCAAAUAUAACCAGACUUGGCAAUUGAUUCUUCUUGUAAUAUUUAUAUACGCUGUCAUCAUACAGAAAAGCCUAAACAAAUCUCCUUAUCCAUUUCAUGAGGCAAGUAGGAGCAAAACAUUACUGCUUUGCCAUUGCAAAGGCUGAAUGUAGAAUGAGUCGAUAACUGCACCUGGGUCCCAAAUGCUCCAGUUUUGGGAACAAACUGGGGUUCAAAAGUGGCCAGAAACAGUCUGGCACAGGCGACAGCACUUCCCUGUGCUUCUCAAAGAGGCUCAAUAUGAUGUCAGUCUGCUUUAUUUAGCUUUCUCUCGCCUUUCUCUAUUCUUUUUAAAACAAACUAGAUUAAAUGGGCAAAUAAAGUAGGAAGGUCUUUUUACAUAAAAUUGGAUCUUUUGCAUCUUUCACUGAGUUCAUGUCAAGGAUUUCUGUUGGUAGGAAAACUACUCAGUCUGCUAAUUCCAAAUAUGAUAUGUAAUUGAGACUUGUAAUUGAGAUUUUACAAAUCAAUAUUCUGAAAAGUGUCUAAUUUUACUGUGUCUGGGAACAUUUGCUGGGUAAUUUGCUGGUGUUAGUACUUCUGCCAUUCUGCAAAAUGGGAAUGUGAUACCAACCAGAAACCAGCACAGAACUGGUCAUUCCUUUUAUAAUUCAUGCUUAGUGAAAUACAGAAGUAAGCAAAUACUAAAACCAGUGGAAUUAACUGCAGAAGUAAAACUCUUUAUGUACGUAAUAGGAGAUAAUAUUGCCAACUCAAAAGGUAUCUACCAAGCUGUGUCCCUUUAAAAACAAAUGAAAUAAAAUAAAUAGGAAUACUUGUGAGCAGAUAUAUUGAAAUUCACGAAUUUAAGUGUUUUGAAUUGGCUUGAAAUUUGAAAUGAGUAUUUUUGCAGAGAGUAUACAACAAGGUAUAUGCUACUGAGCUAAAAAUGUGUGUGUCUGUAUCUGUAGAAUCUGUACCAUUUUUUGUUUUUCUAAAUAAACAAUGAACACACACACACAGAACAUAAACCUGGUUUUGAGAUGCUGUGCUUUCAGAUACUGAGGUUUUACAAGAAGACUGGAACUGAAUUCUUGCACUGUACAGCUCAUGGAUGUUACUGUAAGCAAAAAAUUUCUGGACAUAAUUUCACUUGCAAGGAAUAAAACUGAUUCACUGAUGCAAAAAUUAGGAAAUUACAGCCACCGAGAAAAUGCUUGGUGUUUGAGUUGCACAUUGUCAGAAAUACCAGUUAAUUUUUUUCACACUGUUUAUUGUAUAUUAUUAUAAAAGUAUUAAUUUUGCAUUGACUCACUGGCUUCAAGAAGUACUCUUACAGUCUGCGAAGUACAAAGGGAUUAUGGGAACAUCUCUGUAUUUCUUAGAUAGUCUGAUAAGCAUCACCUGCUGGAGGGCCUAAUCCUGAAAACACCUGGGAUGAUGAUGUUACCCGACUUCAAAUCCUCGUGCUACCUACAUCCUCGUGCUGAGCCCAGGCUUGGGAGCUGGCUGGGACACACCUGGGGGUGACAUGGCCCUGGGACUGGGGGCCUGGAGGCAUGGGAAGCUCUACCUAUGAUAUACCCAAAGUGUAUCAGUGUGUCUGCUUUGCUAGUAGGAAGCUGAGUGAUUGUCUUCCCAAAAUCAGCCUUUGACAGCAUCUGCCUCCUGAAUGAAGUGCAGAUGGUGGGUGUAAGCAUGUGGUCCCUCUCCUUUCUCCCUCUGUCUCACAAAGUACUUCUCCCCAUGUUCUGGAUGAGGUAGCCAAGCCUGUGGCACAACAUGAGCUACGUGGGUCUGUGACAGUGUAUCACCAUUCUGUGAUGGGCCACAAUGCACGUGUAUGUGGAGAGCAAAGCAAGUCUUUGGAUUUCUGCUGGAUUUGCUGGAAAACACUUCUGAGCUGCUCCCUUUCCUCGUGCUUUUCAUUCCUUGGGAACAGGACCCUUUCUGUACCUUAACGAAAGCUUUUUUUUCCCUCUCAUGCUAGAUUGCCAGACUAUCGGGCACUCUGUAUAGAAUGUACCCAUACCUGCUGUCUCCUUCCUUUCCC
ensembl:lncRNA